rnacentral:misc_RNA from 1 species
AACAUCGCGCACCUGCGGGAACCUGCGGAAGGAUCAUUACUGAAUAAAAUCUGGUCUGGUUGUGUUGUCGCUGGCCUCCUGGAGGCAUGUGCACACCCUGCCGCCACCUUAUUCAUCCAUCUAUACUUACCUGUGCAUCUCCUUGUAGGAUCAGGAUUUGUAUCACCAUUUCUUCAAACCUUUCCUUCCCUUCUUCAGGAGGGGGGGUUGAGGGGAGGAGAAAAGUGUUUUUGGAAUUUU